ACCCUAGGGUACUGCUUGGUGGGAAUGAGGACUCGCUCUUUGAGUUUGAGAUUCUUGGUAGCGAACAGGUCCAGAUAUGUUUCCUUUUCUGGCUCUUUCUUUGUUUCACCUUUCUGGAUCCUCUCAAUCUCUGCAGAGAUGAGUUUCAUGGCGUGCGUGAACGAUGAAUCCAAGCUGUCUUUCUCAGCCAGGAGCUCCGGGAGGUACUUUGUGUCUUCCAUUUUGAUUUUCUUCUGUGCUGGGCUUGACUCUAUGGCGGACUCAGAUUUGCUCUCAUUAGCAUUCGCCUGGCUCAUAAUGGGCUGGCACGGCCAGAUCAACGAACGAAUCCUUGCUAGGUUCGUUAGCUUAGCUUCGCCUUAAACGAAACUGCGGCCAAAACGGCUAUUUCCUUUAGCGGCGUAAUAAACAGUCACGUCGCCCAGCCUCCUGGUGUCUCUCAGUGCCAGGUCGUUUUGCUCUCGUCAAUGGACAAAGGAGAGAUGGCGCAGCUGCAUUUGAGUGUGAUGGGAGGAAGAAACGCUGGAGGAGACCGUGACGUCACUACAUGGGAGCAACAAGGAUUUGCUGUGAUCAUGCUUGUCAGGUCCCACUGUUCUGCCCUGGCAUCCUUUGAAGUGAAAACUCCAGCUGGGUUUGUUGGAUGUGGUUUGAUGGGAGAACACAGCACUCCAACUCUAAGUUUUGCACAGGAUACUAGCAAUAUACUCAAAUUAUAUCAUAAAGGCACCAACAAAGCCAAAGUCCAACUGAGACUGAACAACUCAUAUCUAACACAGAAUUAUGAACAAAAGAGCAGAGCAUAUUCACAUUAUAUAUAGGUUUAUGUACAUGUGUGCAGGUUUAAAAAAAAAAAAAGAAAGAAUGCAUGAAGGUUUGUAAUGUUGUGUUGGAACUUACAAGUAUGUGACAUGUGGACAUCAUUUGUUUAUUUGCUACAUAAUUCAUAGCAUAGCAGUAACAGUAUUAUAGCAUCUGUUUACUGCUCUGUCCCCCAGAAUGACUGCAUAUCCACAAUAUAUUUAAAAGUGAGAUUUUUAAUUUAAAGCACCAGUUCCAAUUUAAAUAAAUCCCACAAUAAAAAUACAUUUAUAAUAAAGUUGAUUUAUUUACAAUGAUUAAUAAGGCAUCAACACAAUUUCAAAUUCAUCAUAAAUAAAAAUAAGAACUUGCAGAAGUGUUUCAAGUAAAACUGGGUGGACAAAAGCCACUACACUUCUAAAUCAAAAGUGUAAUGGCUUUUAAGCAAAGAGUUCUAUUUUCAUUCUAUUAUUCCUCACUUAUACAUGAAUAUUGAAAUUAUAUGGCCUCUGAAAUAAUGAAUAUUAUGAUGAUGAUAUCA